rnacentral:lncRNA from 1 species
AUACAUUGUGGCUGAAUCCACUUCAAGUUGGGGUUUUUUUGGGGGUUUUUUUUGGUUGGGUUUUUUUUUUUUUUUUUGCCUCUCACAAAGGAGAAUCCCAGAUACCUAGAGGCCAGAGGUCCAGGGCGAUGGGUGGGCUGUGUCGGGGCCCGGCCCAGCCUGGCCUUCCGACAGCAUCCAGGCAGGCCCUCUUUCCCUCCACCGUCUUGGAUGGGCUUAAUUUAUUGUAGGAAACCCUUGAAGGCGCAGGAGCUUUUGGAGAGCCGGGGACAAUAGGCAUAAAGCAUGCAUUUAAGCCGUCUGAAUGGAGGCUAGAUUUACUGUCUGGGCCAGACGGGAUUUUUGUCCCCAAGUCAUCUCGGAGUACAUUGGCCACUAAAGAUCUCAACAGAAGACGAAGACGGAACAAAAGAAGUAAAUUUUAAAAGGAACUUUGUCAAGGAGUUUUAGAUGUUCACCAGAUAGAAAACCGCGGCUGCCCUCACCGAAAUGACUUUUGGAUUUGCCCAGUGGUUAUGGAUCAGAGGAAGAUGCUAAUGAAGUCGUUUAAAUGCACGUUUGAUGGACCCCAGAGAAUGGGACCAAUUUCAUACAAGCCCACAGCAAGGUUAAGGAAUGAAAGAAGGUGGCCGUUAGAGUUGCUGCCGGGGACAAGGCUCCAUUGUCGGGGCUGCCUUUUUCAGCCGUGAAGCGUGAAGCGUGUUUUGAACUACAGUGUUUACCAACGUGUACAUCCUAGUCUGGCCGACCGGGCCUGCAGAAUUUAUGACCAGGAACAAACCUCUUAGAGGGGAAAAGAAAACAGCUCUUACCAGCUGGGAAAGGAGCUCAGAUCAUGCCCUGGAGAAGCAGGUGACAUCGCGGAAUUUUCCUGUUCCAGAUGCCAGAAGUCUGAAAUGAAGGUGUAAAGCAGGGUGGUUCCUUCUGGAGGCUCUGAGAGAAUCACCCCAGGCCUCUCUCCAGCUUCUGGUGCUGGUAUUCUCAGGCUUGUAGGCGCAUCACCCAUGUCUGCCUCCAUCUUCACAUGGCCUUCUCCUCUGUGUCUGCCUGAAGUCUCCCUUCAUUUCUCUUUGCUGGCUUGUGUUUGACACCAUGCCUGACACAUUGGGGGUGCUCAGUAGACCUGUGUGAGAUGGACAGCCUCCCGUACAGAUGGACGGACAGAUGUACAGGUAGGUGAAUGAACUUUCGUUGCCCCUAAAGCAGGAGAGACUCUGAGUUUCUGAGACAACGGCCAAGAACUUUCUGAUAAGAUCUCUGCAUUUAAGGUUCAGAAAAACUCGAUGAGGACAAUAUUUUUCUCCCGAUUUUGCAGAUAAGAAAAUAGAGGCAUAGAGAAGUCACUUGCUAGUAAAUGUUAGAGGCAGCUUUCUAACCCAGGUCCAUGUGAACCCAGAAAAAGAGGCAGUGAGCACCUGUUCACCCAGGAGCAGCUCUCAGAAGAUAAGAUAAUACGAGGAGGAGGCAGCAGACCCCUAUGCCACGCGUCCACCUGGGGCUGUCCAUCACUUCCUGCAAGAUCUUGCUGGUAGCCAGAUUCUCAGAGACCCCCAGUGAGCCCCGCCUCCUGGUUUUCACACCCUGUGUAGUUUCCUUUCCCCAGGGAUGGUCCAAGUGACCAGCAGCCCGUGGCAGAAGUGAUGGAAUAGCACUUCCAAGCUUAGGUUAUGAAAGAUUGCAGCUUCAAUCUCCUGCCCCACACCCCGUCUCUCUCUCUAACCCCACUCCCUCCCUCCCUCUCUCAUCUCUGACUCUGGGGGAAGCACACUGCAGCCCCGUGGAGAUGCCCUGUGUAAGCCACUGAAGCCUCUGGCCAACAGCAGUGGGAACCUGAGACGUGUCCACAAGCAUGCAUGGGAGCUUGGAAGUGGAUCCUUCAGCCCCAGCCAAGCCUUCAGACGAUGCAGCCUCAGGGACAGUAUGACUGCAGCCUCAUGAGACCCUGAGCCAGAAACACCCCUCCAAGCCACUCCCAGAUGCCUGGCCCUCAGAACCUGGGAGGUAAUAAAUAUUUAUGGCUGUUUGAAGCUGCUGUAUCGGGGGACAAUUUGUUACACAGUAAUAGCUAACUGGUGCAGUCCUGGGACUCUUAGCAGUUUGGAGUAUCAGUUAUUUUGCCAAGGCGGGGAAGUUAACAGUGGUCAUUGCAGCAGCUGCACUUGGGGACCACAAUAAAGAAGCUUUCUCAGACUGGUUUGAACAAAGUGGUGAAUUCUCUGCAAGGACACAGAGGUGUCUCUCAAAACCCAAGGAUGGGACAGCAGGCCUCAAGAAGAACUGGAACCUCUGUCCCUUCUGUGCUUCUUUUUACUCCUGUGUUCUCUGCUUCUUGGAGCACUUGGCAGUUGGGAAGUGGCCAUUUCAAUUCUCGUGGUCAAGAAACCAGCUCAGAAAUAACCCAACCAACACAGGUGGGGUCAGGUGUCCAUCCUGGCUCCAUUUGUCAUGGCGGGAGAUGGUGAUGAAGAGAAACAUCCAGGACCAUUGGUAGGGCACCCGAAUGAGAUUCCAGGAGAGGCCAGUUCUAAGAGAAGGGUACUAGAAAGAUACCCAUUGAAGUCAAUACCACAUGUGGCACAUCCUCCUUUCAGGUGGCAAGUGUGUAGCCAAAGCAAGGUUCAGGGUCCAUAUUUGAAAGUCAGAAACUGAAUAAACUGUUUUCUCCCACCCCGAGCACUGUGGGGAACUCUGCUCACAAAUCCACCAUCCACCAUCACCAGCCGUGCUCAUCUGACCAUUCAUGCAGGCUCACACUUGACCUGAUGUGGGUUCUGUCUCCUUUGCUUGAGAAUUGAAAGGCCUGGGAGAUGCAAAAGCUUUAGGCUCCAGCCAUCUCCCCAUGUCAGGUAGGCCUUUUGCCUAGUGUAUCCAGUUGGUAAUGCUGCAGAGAUGCAUGAAGCUGGAGUCAGAGGCCACCUGUAGUGCUGCCCUGACUUCAGACCUGAGCCCAGCCCAGCAGCAGAGAGGGGGCUGGGAGCCAGAGGAGGCCUCACAGUAACAGCACAGACAGGUGGGGGCCCACAACAGGCCACAUGUGUUCAAACUCGAGUGUGGGCAGAGGAGCAUGGGAAGCUCAGAGCCCUGAGCUCACCCCACACCCAACACGAGUGGGGUCACCCAAAAUCAGCCUGUCAGCACUGUCCCAGCAGCCAGUCGCAUGCUACAUUAACAAAUUUUGCACAGGCCAGCAAGCAGGAUCGCUCACCAGCCACCCUCCUGAACUGGCCUAUGGGGCCCCAGGAUGAUGCCAUAGCCACAAGUCUGGAGUUCCUCAAAGUACCUGGUCAGCACAACUCAGUUAAACAAUGGGCAAAAGACCUGAACAGACACUUCGCCAGAGAAGAUGUACAGAUGCAAGUAAGCAUUUGAAAAGGUGCCCCACAUCGUAUGUCGUUAGGGAAUGGUCCAAUCCAGAACACUGAUGGCACCAAAGGCUGCUGAGCAUGUGGAGCAGCAGAACUCUCAUUCACUGCUGGUGAGAAAAAUGGCGCAGCCCCAAUAGGGAACCCUAAUGCAGACUCUGGACUUCACUGGAAAUGACGUGUCAGUGUAGCUGCGUCAGUUGUAACAAAUGCACCAGUCUGGUGGGCGUGUUGAUAACCGGGGCUGCGCACGUGGGGAGAGAGGACCUGUGGGAAUGCUCUACUUUCCACUCAUUUUUGCUGUGAACUUAAAACUGCUCUUACAAAAUAACAUUGUUUGUUGUUGUUGUUGUUGUUGUUGUUGUUGUUGUUUUUAAGUAUCUAGUCAGCUCCACACAUGACCCGGGCAGAGUGGGAAGUUGUAGAGUGCCCCAAGGAGAGAAAUGGAACCAGGUCUCAUGUGGGGCCAAGUGUGGGCUCCCUGUCCUCUCAGCUGGUCCCAGGAACUGAAGGGAAAUUUAGACAACUUGGAGAAAGACACUCUAGGGCUCGGGGCAAAGGGUGGUGUUGAUGAGAACCAUAUUUUUUUAUUGCUGGUGUAAGCACUUGUAUUUUUCUGAUUUUCCACUGGUUCGAUAAUAAGGGUAAAAGACAAUAAAGCAUACUUUUUAAGCUUU